rnacentral:rRNA from 1 species
AUUGAACGCUGGCGGCAGGCUUAACACAUGCAAGUCGAGCGGAGUGAUGGUGCUUGCACUAUCACUUAGCGGCGGACGGGUGAGUAAUGCUUAGGAAUCUGCCAUUUAGUGGGGGACAACAUUCCGAAAGGAAUGCUAAUACCGCAUACGUCCUACGGGAGAAAGCAGGGGAUCUUCGGACCUUGCGCUAAAUGAUGAGCCUAAGUCGGAUUAGCUAGUUGGUGGGGCAAAGGCCUACCAAGGCGACGAUCUGUAGCGGGUCGGAGAGGAUGAUCCGCCACACUGGGACUGAGACACGGCCCAGACUCCUACGGGAGGCAGCAGUGGGGAAUAUUGGACAAUGGGCGGAAGCCUGAUCCAGCCAUGCCGCGUGUGUGAAGAAGGCCUUUUGGUUGUAAAGCACUUUAAGCGAGGAGGAGGCUCUCCUAGUUAAUACCUAGGAAGAGUGGACGUUACUCGCAGAAUAAGCACCGGCUAACUCUGUGCCAGCAGCCGCGGUAAGAC